rnacentral:rRNA from 1 species
UACGUAGGGUGCAAGCGUUGUCCGGAAUUAUUGGGCGUAAAGAGCUCGUAGGCGGUCUGUCGCGUCGGCUGUGAAAACCUGGGGCUUAACUCCGGGCUUGCAGCCGAUACGGGCAGACUAGAGUUCGGCAGGGGAGACUGGAAUUCCUGGUGUAGCGGUGAAAUGCGCAGAUAUCAGGAGGAACACCGGUGGCGAAGGCGGGUCUCUGGGCCGAAACUGACGCUGAGGCACGAAAGCGUGGGGAGCAAACAGG